rnacentral:rRNA from 1 species
UGGGGAAUAUUGCACAAUGGGGGAAACCCUGAUGCAGCGACGCCGCGUGAAGGAUGAAGUAUUUCGGUAUGUAAACUUCUAUCAGCAGGGAAGAAAAUGACGGUACCUGACUAAGAAGCCCCGGCUAACUACGUGCCAGCAGCCGCGGUAAUACGUAGGGGGCAAGCGUUAUCCGGAUUUACUGGGUGUAAAGGGAGCGUAGACGGCAUGGCAAGUCUGAAGUGAAAGGCAGGGGCUCAACCCUGACUGCUUUGGAAACUGUCCAUCUAGAGUGCCGGAGAGGUAAGCGGAAUUCCUAGCGUAGCGGUGAAAUGCGUAGAUAUUAGGAGGAACACCAGUGGCGAAGGCGGCUUACUGGACGGUAACUGACGUUGAGGCUCGAAAGCGUGGGGAGCAAACAGGAUUAGAUACCC